AUUGAACGCUGGCGGCAUGCCUUACACAUGCCAGUCGAACGGUAACACGUCUUCGGCUGCUGCCGACUGGCGGCCGGGUGCGUACUACAUAGGAAUGUACCGGAAUCUGGGGUUUCGUGGGGGGAAACGUUUGUAAACUCACGCUAAUACCUCAUACGGCCUACGGGGGAAAGCAGGGCAUCUUCGGAUCUUGCGGGAUUGAGUGAGCCGAUGUCGGAUUAGGUAGUUGGCGGGGUAAAGGCCCACCAAGGCGACGAUCCGUAGCUGGUCUGAGAGGACGACCAGCCACACUGGAACUGAGACACGGCCCAGACUCCUACGGGAGGCAGCAGUGGGGAAUUUUGGACAAUGGGCGAAAGCCUGAUCCAGCAAUGCCGCGUGCAUGAUGAAGGCCUUCGGGUUGUAAACUGCUUUUGUACGGAACGAAAAGGCGCUGGCUAAUACCUCGGUCACAUGACGGUACCGAAAGAAUAAGCACCGACUAACUUCGUG
rnacentral:rRNA from 1 species